UAUAGGCUGUGUCCCAAUUCCAAGGACGCAUCCUUCGAAGGCUGCAUUCGAAGGAUGCGUCGACGCCGAUUGCGUCACAGCGUCGCGCCAAGUGCUGUCCCAAUUCCAAGGGUCCUUCAAAUGCGGCCUACGAAUGCAGCCUUCUUUUCCCGGAUUUGAAGGAUGCAUCGGCUGUAUCCUUCACGGCCCAACGUAUCCCAAGAUCCUUCACGGCCCAACGUAUCCCUCCCAAGAUUCAUUGCGCAUUCAAUCAAUGGAGAUGGCGGAGAAUGGCGAUUUAAGUUCUGCAUUUAAAUGUAAGUAUUUGGUUUCUAGUCACUCGAGUAUUUAACGAUACAAAUGUUAAAAAUACAAGGGCCCUUAAAACUUUUUUCAUUAAAGUAAUAGGCAAUAUAAGUAAGGUAACGUUACAGUUAGUGACGCUGUAACGUUAACUAAGAACACCCGUUAAGUCCUAUAGUUUCAAAUUUAAGAGGUUAAAAUGGUUAUAUUUACCGAAAUUGUGGCGAUUAUAUAGAUAAUUUGCUAUUCUGUAACGUUAGAUAAAUGGACCAACGCGAACACAGGUUGUGGACCCUGGUUUUCAGACCGUAACGUUACAGACGUUGGGAUUGAUUACACAGUUAACUUGGUUAUUUUGCUAUUUAAGCUGCUUUGGUUUGGUAGUGUAAAGCAAAACUAAUUCUAACAUUUGGUUUUGGUUUAGGGGGCCAGCAGCAUACUGCUCGAUUUAUUCUAUUGAGGGGGGAGAAUGAUGAGCUGUUCACCGGGGUGAAAUACUCAGCAAGUGUGGCUUGGGGGAUUGCAAGUAUCCAGGGUCAGGAGAGGGGGUAGGUGGGAAACCCACUGCUGCCACUUGGACCUGGUUUGUCCCCAUGGAUGAGGUAUUAUGACAGAUGCAUUCCACCAACCCCCCUGUCCUAAUUGCCUCCAUCCCUGAGAACACACCAGGGCCAAGUACAGCAGUGGUGGAUCAGGAGGUUGAGGACAAGGAUCAGGAGGAGGAAAGACAGCGAGGGCCAAGGUCCAGAAAGAGGGACAGAGAGGAAGACAUGUUCCAGAGUCGCUCACUAUCUUCCGAAAAGGACUCAAGAUUCACCUGUUCAGAGUCCACCUCGACUGCAUAGCCACCCUCCCCCUUCUGGCAACCAUUGUACACUGUGUUGUAUUGUAUUGUAUUAUAGUACUUAACUGUGUAGCAACUGCAGUAGCUGCUAUCAUGGCUGUAACACGGGGAAUGGGUUAGCCUAGCGAUUGUGGUACUUGCACUUGGUUCUAUGAACAUCCUUUCUGUACCGACAGCGAUAUAUUGAUGCA